rnacentral:rRNA from 1 species
GAGGAAGCAUUUAUUAGAUAAAAAGCCAAUGCAUGCUUUUACAGUAUGAAAAUUGGUGAUUUAUAAUAACUUAGCAAAUCGUAAAGUGAAAACAGACGAUAAAUCAUUCAAGUUUCUGACCUAUCAGCUUUCGACGGUAUGGUAUUGGCUUACCGUGGCAGUGACGGUUAACGGGGGAUUAGGGUUCGAUUCCGGAGAGGGAGCCUGAGAAACGGCUACCACAUCUAAGGAAGGCAGCAGGCGCGCAAAUUACCCAAUUCUAACAGUUUGAGAGAGGUAGUAACAAGAAAUAACAAUACAAGGCAGUUAAAAUGCUUUGUAAUUGGAAUGAUAGAAAUUUAAACCCUUUUUAAAGUAUCAAUUGGAGGGCAAGUCUGGUGCCAGCAGCCGCGGUAAUUCCAGCUCCAAUAGCGUAUAUUAAAAUUGUUGCAGUUAAAAAGCUCGUAGUUGAAGUUCUGCUAAAAGUAACCGGUCUGCUUUUAAUAAAAGUGGUAUCUUGGUAUGUAUUUAGCAAUGAUGUCCUUUGAAGUGUUUUUUACUUUAUUGUAAUAAAGCAUAUUCAGGACUUUUACUUUGAGAAAAUUAGAGUGUUUCUAGCAGGCCGACGCUUUGAAUACUGCAGCAUGGAAUAAUAAGA